CGUUAUGAAGCUAUUAUAGCAUUAACCUUUUAAGUUAAAGAAUGAGAAUAAUCUUUCUCCAUAACGA
rnacentral:tRNA from 1 species